GCGCCGCAGGCACUGCCAACACGGGACCCGCCGCGGGUCCCCCCGGCCCACGUCGUCCUGUCAACCUCGACUCGGCUUUAGCGGCGCUGCGCAAGGAGAUGGUGGGGUUGCGGCAGCUGGACAUGUCCCUGUUGUGCCAGCUUUGGGGCUUGUACGAGUCAAUCCAGGACUAUAAGCACCUGUGCCAAGACUUGAGCCUGUGCCAGGACCUGUCAUCCUCCCUGCACUCAGACAGCUCCUACCCACCUGAUGCUGGCCUAUCUGAUGACGACGAGCCUCCUGAUGCCAGCCUGCCCCCAGACCCACCGCCCCUCACUGUGCCCCAGACACACAAUGCCCGUGACCAGUGGCUGCAAGACGCCUUCCAUAUCAGCCUCUGAAGAAUUGGGGUGGGGUCGUGGGGGGCACGUACCCAUGAAAAAGGCUCAAAAACACCCCUCAGCAAGUACUCAGACUAUAGUGCCUGCUUUCCCUCAUACCACCUCACUUCACAGGAGGGCAAAGCCUGGGCCCUUCAGAGGCACAACUGCCAACCCUCUCCUGUCUUGGGUUGGCUGCCACUGGGGCAGGCACCUGGGCUACAGCCUCUACCCAGGGCACUGGACCUCCACUUCUCCCACAGCUUGUGUGCACCCCAGCUUGGCCAACCUUCAGGCUGGCAGUGGGGCCCAAAGCAUCUCGCACUCCCCUUGGCAUCUCUGGAGUUGGGAUGAGUGUCUGGUUCCCAUCACCUUUUCACCUAUUGCUGUUGGCAGCUGUAGGCUCAGGAGCAUCCCUCCUCUGGUCCCUGUGUUUCACUACCCUAGACAAGGGCUCCAGGACCCAUUCCUGCACCCCCUCACGGCCAGGAAGGCCAAGGCUCCAUGCUGGAUAUUUAAGUUUAGGAGCCAGCCUCCUGGGCGCAUAGGUAAAUAAAUACUCUCAGUGUUUCUGUGUUCUUACUGCUUUGCUCUGGGGCAGAAAGAUAGCGGUGUUUUGGGCAAGUGCGGCCCCGCGGUGCGCCGGCAGGUGGCGACGGAGACCCUGAGUGGAAAAAUCGCUGGCGGUGGCAGAGUGCAAAUCCUCCCUCCCCCGGGGUUGCGGAGUGUUCCAAGCUGGCCCAGCCUGGUGCUGCGGUUGUGUGACUGCGGCCAAGUCACUUCCCCUCUUGCCGGAGGUCUGAGAACCCACCUCUCACCUCCCCACUCGCUUUGGGCUUUCUUGGCCCGCCGGGGAGGAAGAAGGAGCCGCCCAUCUUGAGAGAAACUUUCCACCGCGAGUGGAGGCGGAGUUGGGGCGGCACAGGAAAUGGGUGGGUCCGAGCCGGCGGGCCAAGGGGGCCCCUCGGCGGGAGAGGGGAAGACGCCUCCAGGAAGGGACUGGGAGCUAAGGAAACCUAGGACCAUACUGCUGGGACCGGGAGCCAAAGCCGGUGUCAGGCCCACCGAAGGAAGCCUGCAUAUUGGGAUGGUGGUUGCUCAGACACACAACACCCCCACAACUUCUGAGACCAGGAGGAGGACCUCGAAGUCGCACACUUAGGCUUUCGGGCUGCUCAUACCCAUGCCCUGCUGCACAGUCACUUGCCUCCUGGAGACAACUCAGCGGGCACUCCUGGCACAUCAGACGUCCUGUUCAAAUCGAGUGUUUAUCAGGCACCAGGCUACCGCCCAUUCACGAACCUUGCAGGGGCUGGCCGGGAGGGAAUCAGCUGAUGUGCUGCCCCAGGACAGUUCUCUAACUCUGGGCCUGACACCUGAGGCUCAUUACCGUGCGAGGCAAAAGGGUAGGCGAUAGAGCUCUAACCUAGGUGUGAACACAGCGGCUACCGCCCAGGGCAAGCUUCCCAGGGGGAGGGAUAGUAAAAACACACACACACUUUCCCAUCCACGAUAACGGCUUCCUGGAGUUUAAUGAGACCUCGCAAAAUCAGCCAGGCUCUGUACUAAAUGAAAGGUUUCCAAGUACAAAUACAAAUUUCCAAGGUUUCAUCCUC